rnacentral:rRNA from 1 species
UGGGGAAUAUUGGACAAUGGGCGAAAGCCUGAUCCAGCGACGCCGCGUGGGUGAAGAAGGCCUGCGGGUUGUAAAGCCCUUUCGGUAGGGACGAAAGCCUCCGACCUAACACGUCGGGGGGUUGACUUAACCUACAGAAGAAGCACCGGCUAACUCUGUGCCAGCAGCCGCGGUAAUACAGAGGGUGCGAGCGUUAAUCGGAAUUACUGGGCGUAAAGCGCACGUAGGCGGCUUGGUAUGUCGGGUGUGAAAUCCCCGGGCUCAACCUGGGAACUGCAUCCGAAACUGCCUUGCUCGAGUAUGGGGAGAGGGAAGCGGAAUUUCCGGUGUAGCGGUGAAAUGCGUAGAUAUCGGAAGGACAUCAGUGGCGAAGGCGGCUUCCUGGACCAAUACUGACGCUCAGGUGCGAAAGCGUGGGGAGCAAACAGGAUUAGAUACCCUGGUAGUCCACGCCCUAAACGAUGAGAACUGGAUGUCGGGAGGGUUUGCCUUCCGGUGUCGUAGCUAACGCGUUAAGUU